rnacentral:misc_RNA from 1 species
GAAAUGCGAUACUUGGUGUGAAUUGCAGAAUCCUGUGAACGAUCAAGUCUUUGAACGCAAGUUGCGCCCAAAGCCAUUAGGUUGAGGACACGUCUGCCUAGGCAUCUCACGUUGCGUCGCCCGUACUCCCUUAGCCCAGAAGGGAAGGGUUGCGGGCGGAUGUUGGCCUGCAUAGGUGCGCCGGGGCGCGGUUGCCCUAAAAACGAGUCCCUCGCAACAGACGACGUGUCGCGACGAGUGUUGGUUGACAAACCGUUGCAUCGCCUCACGCGCGUCCGAGUCAUCGCUGAAGGUUUGUUGUGACCCUAUUGGGCCGUUGCCAAGGCGCUCUGAUCACGACCCCAGGUCAGGCGGGAUUACCUGCUGAGUUUAA